rnacentral:rRNA from 1 species
AGAGUUUGAUCAUGGCUCAGAUUGAACGCUGGCGGCAGGCCUAACACAUGCAAGUCGAGCGGUAGCACAGAGAGCUUGCUCUCGGGUGACGAGCGGCGGACGGGUGAGUAAUGUCUGGGAAACUGCCUGAUGGAGGGGGAUAACUACUGGAAACGGUAGCUAAUACCGCAUAACGUCGCAAGACCAAAGUGGGGGACCUUCGGGCCUCAUGCCAUCAGAUGUGCCCAGAUGGGAUUAGCUUGUAGGUGGGGUAACGGCUCACCUAGGCGACGAUCCCUAGCUGGUCUGAGAGGAUGACCAGCCACACUGGAACUGAGACACGGUCCAGACUCCUACGGGAGGCAGCAGUGGGGAAUAUUGCACAAUGGGCGCAAGCCUGAUGCAGCCAUGCCGCGUGUGUGAAGAAGGCCUUCGGGUUGUAAAGCACUUUCAGCGGGGAGGAAGGCGGUGAGGUUAAUAACCUCAUCGAUUGACGUUACCCGCAGAAGAAGCACCGGCUAACUCCGUGCCAGCAGCCGCGGUAAUACGGAGGGUGCAAGCGUUAAUCGGAAUUACUGGGCGUAAAGCGCACGCAGGCGGUCUGUCAAGUCGGAUGUGAAAUCCCCGGGCUCAACCUGGGAACUGCAUUCGAAACUGGCAGGCUAGAGUCUUGUAGAGGGGGGUAGAAUUCCAGGUGUAGCGGUGAAAUGCGUAGAGAUCUGGAGGAAUACCGGUGGCGAAGGCGGCCCCCUGGACAAAGACUGACGCUCAGGUGCGAAAGCGUGGGGAGCAAACAGGAUUAGAUACCCUGGUAGUCCACGCCGUAAACGAUGUCGAUUUGGAGGUUGUGCCCUUGAGGCGUGGCUUCCGGAGCUAACGCGUUAAAUCGACCGCCUGGGGAGUACGGCCGCAAGGUUAAAACUCAAAUGAAUUGACGGGGGCCCGCACAAGCGGUGGAGCAUGUGGUUUAAUUCGAUGCAACGCGAAGAACCUUACCUGGUCUUGACAUCCACAGAACUUUCCAGAGAUGGAUUGGUGCCUUCGGGAACUGUGAGACAGGUGCUGCAUGGCUGUCGUCAGCUCGUGUUGUGAAAUGUUGGGUUAAGUCCCGCAACGAGCGCAACCCUUAUCCUUUGUUGCCAGCGGUCCGGCCGGGAACUCAAAGGAGACUGCCAGUGAUAAACUGGAGGAAGGUGGGGAUGACGUCAAGUCAUCAUGGCCCUUACGACCAGGGCUACACACGUGCUACAAUGGCAUAUACAAAGAGAAGCGACCUCGCGAGAGCAAGCGGACCUCAUAAAGUAUGUCGUAGUCCGGAUUGGAGUCUGCAACUCGACUCCAUGAAGUCGGAAUCGCUAGUAAUCGUAGAUCAGAAUGCUACGGUGAAUACGUUCCCGGGCCUUGUACACACCGCCCGUCACACCAUGGGAGUGGGUUGCAAAAGAAGUAGGUAGCUUAACCUUCGGGAGGGCGCUUACCACUUUGUGAUUCAUGACUGGGGUGAAGUCGUAACAAGGUAACCGUAGGGGAACCUGCGGUUGGAUCACCU